AGAGUUUGAUCCUGGCUCAGAACGAACGCUGGCGGCGUGCUUAACACAUGCAAGUCGAACGCGAAAUUUUUUCUUCGGAGAAAAGAGUAGAGUGGCGCACGGGUGAGUAACGCGUAAAUAAUCUACCCCUGCAUUCGGGAUAACCCACCGAAAGGUGAGCUAAUACCGGAUACGUUCUUUUUAUCGCGAGAUAAAAAGAAGAAAGGUGGCCUCUGAUAUAAGCUACUGUGCGGGGAGGAGUUUGCGUACCAUUAGCUAGUUGGUAGGGUAAUGGCCUACCAAGGCAACGAUGGUUAGCGGGUCUGAGAGGAUGAUCCGCCACACUGGAACUGGAACACGGACCAGACUCCUACGGGAGGCAGCAGUGAGGAAUAUUGCGCAAUGGGGGCAACCCUGACGCAGCGACGCCGCGUGGAUGAUGAAGGCCUUCGGGUCGUAAAAUCCCUGUCAGAUGGAAAAGAAAUGUAUAUGUAUUAACAAGUAUGUAUGCUUUGACGGUACCAUCAAAG
rnacentral:rRNA from 1 species